GAUGAACGCUGGCGGCGUGCCUAAUACAUGCAAGUCGAGCGAACGGACGAGAAGCUUGCUUUUCUGAUGUUAGCGGCGGACGGGUGAGUAACACGUGGAUAACCUACCUAUAAGACUGGGAUAACUUCGGGAAACCGGAGCUAAUACCGGAUAAUAUUUUGAACCGCAUGGUUCAAAAGUGAAAGACGGUCUUGCUGUCACUUAUAGAUGGAUCCGCGCUGCAUUAGCUAGUUGGUAAGGUAACGGCUUACCAAGGCAACGAUGCAUAGCCGACCUGAGAGGGUGAUCGGCCACACUGGAACUGAGACACGGUCCAGACUCCUACGGGAGGCAGCAGUAGGGAAUCUUCCGCAAUGGGCGAAAGCCUGACGGAGCAACGCCGCGUGAGUGAUGAAGGUCUUCGGAUCGUAAAACUCUUUUAUUAGGGAAGAACAUAUGUGUAAGUAACUGUGCACGUCUUGACGGUACCUAAUCAGAAAGCCACGGCUAACUACGUG
rnacentral:rRNA from 1 species